CUUGUAUCGUAAUGUACUAUUACAUAAUUAUGGUAUGUAUUGUAAAACGUUGUACGAUACAUGUACGAAUAGAAUAAGUAUUAUAGGUAAUUCACUACUCCUGUCGAUUUAAAAAACUCUCUUCGUUCGUGUUUUAAUCACAACUCGUUUCAAAUUUCCCAUUUUUCGCACUUGUAUCGUAAUUUACUAUUGAUUACUUUACUAUUGAUUACUAUCUAUUAGUUAAAAUAAAAAUUCCAUCAAAUAUAUUGCUAAAAAACAACAGACUCGUAACCAAAUAACAAAGGUGAAUUUUACUGCACAUUAGGUAUCAUUUGACGGCAUUUCAAUUUUAGAUAGGUACUGAAUUAUUUUUAAUCAUUUAUGAAUUAUUUUUAAUCAUUUAUUUUAAGUACCUUUAUGCCUUUAAUUCGAGGUAGACUCAUUUAAAAAAAAAUGUUAACGUAUUUUAGACAUCUUCUAUACAUUAGCCUAGCGUUUUUCAAAAUCGGAGUUGGCAACACUGACGCCGAAGUGAUUUGUCAACGCGUCUUGUGUUAAUUUUUUUGCGGUUAUCUAUCACAUCACAGAUCGAACAACUUACAAGUUCAAUGGAGUAAGUGAUCGAAUCUUUAAAAACAUGGGAGUUGGAGAACUUAAUACGAAAAUUCACCACCCCGGAAUCGGACGCUAAUAAAACCAUGUUCCGAUGGUAAUAGGCGACGCCCAGCGUGCCCGGGUGUUGAAAUAAGUGCAAAACUGCUCUCCGCUCGCCUUUUGUCCACCAACGGGUUCACGCCGCGUCGCCUAAUCCUCGCGCCGGUCGCCAGCAUUCCCCGCUGUGUUCCGGUAACCUACAGGCGGCAAGCUGACGCUGCCGUCAUCCACACGACACCAUCUCUGAGGCGGCUGACGUGGUGG